UGGGUACAUGGUAGGUCAGUUUGACCACUGA
rnacentral:piRNA from 1 species